rnacentral:rRNA from 1 species
CGGUGGGCGGAGCGCCACGACCGGUUCGCCGGCGGCGAGAAACUCCCGGGCAAGGUGACCUUCGUCUCGGCGCAGGAGCAUACAGGCCCGGUGAGCGUCGGCCCGUCGGCGGACCGAGGAAGACCGUCGCGGAGCGGCGUCGACCGCCCGUCGUGUGGACGCGUUCGACUCGGGGGGACUGGUUCCAGUGCCCUCGGACCGCGCGAUCGCAGCGGCGGGACGGCCCGGCGUCGCGCCUGGGGUCGGUGGCGAAACGGCCGGCAACCUGUCCGACCCGUCUUGAAACACGGACCAAGGAGUCUAACAUGUGCGCGAGUCGUUGGGCGCUACGAAACCCGAAGGCGCAAUGAAAGUGAAGGCCCGGUCUCGUGCCGGCCUGGGUGGGAUCCGGGCGGCCUCGGCCGUCCGGCGCACCACCGGCCCGUCUCGUUCGCCGCGUCGAAGAGGCGGAGCAAGAGCGUACACGUUGGGACCCGAAAGAUGGUGAACUAUGCCCGAGUAGGACGAAGCCAGAGGAAACUCUGGUGGAGGUCCGCAGCGAUUCUGACGUGCAAAUCGAUCGUCAAACUUGGGAAAAGGGGGAGAACAUGAAACCGUCUAUCUAGAGGCCCUUUUCUUUCUUCUCUCCCCCUA